AACCCAUGGUGAAGGCACCUUCUCAAUAAACCCUUAUACCUCUUCCAUGCAUCGUACAGGGUCUCUAAGUCCAAUUGCACAAAGGAAGAGAUAUCAUUCCUCAACUU
rnacentral:snoRNA from 1 species